rnacentral:ncRNA from 1 species
GAGGAAUGCAAUGGGAUGGAUGGUACAGGCUGCCUGCGCCCAAAAGCGAUGAUUCACUUGUUCCCUUGUCUAUAGGGACCUUGUGGCAUACAACCGCCACGACUCUUGCGUUAUAGCCGCCUCUUUCUCUCUUACUUUUGACUGUCUCGUGGACGGACGAAAGAAGGGAAGUUACAGAAGGGGGCAGUGAAGGCUCGCAAAGUAGUUCAGUAGCUGGUCCAAGAGGAUGAUCAGCCACACUAGGACUGAGAAACGGCCCAGACUCCUACGGGAGGCAGCAGUGGGGAAUUUUCCGCAAUGGGCGAAAGCCUGACGGAGCAAUGCUGUGUGGAGGUGGAAGGCCUACGGGUCUGUCAACUUUUUUCUCGGAGAAGAAACAAUGACGGUAUCUGAGGAAUAAGCAUCAGCUAACUCUGUGCCAGCAGCCGUGGUAAGACAGAGGAUGCAAGCGUUAUC